UAGCACAGCCUAAAUACCCUAAAGGCACCAGAUCCUGUCUAAUCUUGGAAGCAAAACAGGAUUAGUCUUGGUUAGUGCUUGAAUAAGAGACACUGCCAACAAAUAUCAGAUGCUGUCCAAU
rnacentral:rRNA from 11 species